rnacentral:lncRNA from 10 species
GUCCAUGUAUUCUCAUUGUUCAGUUCCCACCUAUGAGUGAGAACAUGUGGUGUUUGGUUUUUUGUCCUUGCGAUAGUUUGCUGAGAAUGAUGGUUUCCAGCUUCAUUCAUGUCCCUACAAAGGACAUGAACUCAUCAUUUUUUAUGGCUGCAUAGUAUUCCAUGGUGUAUAUGUGUCACAUUUUCUUAAUCCAGUCUAUCAUUGUUGGACAUUUGGGUUGGUUCCAAGUCUUUGCUAUUGUGAAUAGUGCCACAAUAAACAUACGUGUGCAUGUGUCUUUAUAGCAGCAUGUUUUAUAAUCCUUUGGGUAUAUACGCAGUAAUGGGAUGGCUGGGUCAAAUGGUAUUUCUAGUUCUAGAUUCCUGAGGAAUCGCCACACAGAUUUCCACAAUGGUUGAACUAGUUUACAGUCCCACCAACAGUGUAAAAGUGUUCCUAUUUCUCCACAUCCUCUCCAGCACCUGUUGUUUCCUGACUUUUUAAUGAUUGCCAUUCUAACUGGUAUAAGAUGGUAUCUCAUUGUGGUUUUGAUUUGCAUUUCUCUGAUGGCCAGUGAUGAUGAGCAUUUGUUCAUGUGUCUUUUGGCUGCAUAAAUGUCUUCUUUUGAGAAGUGUCUGUUCAUAUCCUUUGCCCACUUUUUGAUGGGGUUGUUUUUUUCUUGCAAAUUUGUUUGAGUUCAUUGUAGAUUCUGGAUAUUAGCCCUUUGUCAGAUGAGUAGAUUGUGAAAAUUUUCUCCCAUUCUGUAGGUUGCCUGUUCACUCUGAUGGUAGUUUCUUUUGCUGUGCAGAAGCUCUUUAGUUUAAUUAGAUCCCAUUUGUCAAUUUUGGCUUUUGUUGCCAUUGCUUUUGGUGUUUUAGACAUGAGGUCCUUGCCCAUGCCUAUGUCCUGAAUGGUAUUGCCUAGGUUUUCUUCUAGGGUUUUUAUGGUUUUAGGUCUAACAUUUAAGUCUUUAAUCCAUCUUGAAUUAAUUUUUGUAUAAGGUGUAAGGAAGGGAUCCAGUUUCAGCUUUCUACAUAUGGCUAGCCAGUUUUCCCAGCACCAUUUAUUAAAUAGGGAAUCCUUUCCCCAUUUCUUGUUUUUGUCAGGUUUGACAAAGAUCAGAUAGUUGUAGAUAUGCGGCAUUAUUUCUGAGGGCUCUGUUCUUUUCCAUUGGUCUAUAUCUGUGUUUUGGUACCAGUACCGUGCUGUUUUGGUUACUGUAGCCUGAUGCCUCCAGCUUUGUUCUUUUGGCUUAGGAUUGACUUGGCAAUGUGGGCUCUUUUUUGGUUCCAUAUGAACUUUAAAGUAGUUUUUUCCAAUUCUGUGAAGAAAGGCAUUGGUAGCUUGAUGGGGAUGGCGUUGAAUCUAUAAAUUACCUUGGGCAGUAUGGCCAUUUUCACAAUAUUGAUUCUUCCUACCCAGGAGCAUGGAAUGUUCUUCCAUUUGUUUGUAUCCUCUUUUAUUUCAUUGAGCAGUGGUUUGUAAUUCUCGAAGAGGUCCUUCACGUCCCUUGUAAGUUGGAUUCCUAGGUAUUUUAUUCUCUUUGAAGCAAUUGUGAAUGGCAGUUCACUCAUGAUUUGUCUCUCUGUCUGUUAUUGGUGUAUAAGAAUGCUUGUGAUUUUUGCACAUUGAUUUUGUAUCCUGAGACUUUGCUGAAGUUGCCUAUCAGCUUAAGGAGAUUUUGGGCUGAGACAGUGGGGUUUUCUAGAUAUACAAUCAUGUCAUCUGCAAACAGGGACAAUUUGACUUCCUCUUUUCCUAAUUGAAUACCCUUUAUUUCCUUCUCCUGCCUGAUUGCCCUGGCCAGAACUUCCAACACUAUGUUGAAUAGGAGUGGUGAGAGAGGGCAUCCCUGUCUUGUGCCAGUUUUCAAAGGGAAUGCUUCCAGUUUUUGCCCAUUCAGUAUGAUAUUGGCUGUGGGUUUGUCAUAGAUAGCUCUUAUUAUUUUGAAAUAUGUCCCAUCAAUACCUAAUUUAUUGAGAGUUUUUAGCAUGAAGUGUUGUUGAAUUUUGUCAAAGGCCUUUUCUGCAUCUAUUGAGAUAAUCAUGUGGUUUUUGUCGUUGGUUCUGUUUAUAUGCUGGAUUAUGUUUAUUGAUUUGCGUAUGUUGAACCAGCCUUGCAUCCCAGGGAUGAAGCCCACCUUAUCAUGGUGGAUAAGCUUUUUGAUGUGCUGCUGGAUUCAGUUUGCCAGUAUUUUAUUGAGGAUUUUUGCAUCGAUGUUCAUCAGGGAUAUUGGUCUAAAAUUCUCUUUUUUUGUUGUGUCUCUGCCAGGCUUUGCUAUCAGGAUGAUGCUGGGCUCAUAAAAUGAGUUAGGGAGGAUUCCCUCUUUUUCUAUUGAUUGGAAUAGUUUCAGAAGGAAUGGUACCAGCUCCUCCUUGUACCUCUGGUAGAAUUAGGCUGUGAAUCCAUCUGGUCCUGGACUUUUUUUGGUUGGUAAGCUAUUAAUUAUUGCCUCAAUUUCAGAGCCUGUUAUUGGUCUAUUCAGAGAUUCAACUUCUUCUGGGUUUAGUCUUGGGAGGGUGUAUGCGUUGAGGAAUUUAUGCAUUUCUUCUAGAUUUUCUAGUUUAUUUGCAUGGAGGUGUUCACAGUAUUCUCUGAUGGUAGUUUGUAUUUCUGUGGGAUCGGUGAUGAUAUCCCCUUUAUCAUUUUUUAUUGCAUCUAUUUGAUUCUUCUCUCUUUUCUUCUUUAUUUGUCUUGCUAGCGGUCUACCAAUUUUGUUGAUCUUUUCAAAAAACCAGCUCCUGGAUUCUUUGAUUUUUUGAAGGGUUUUUUGUGUAUCUCUUUCAGUUCUGCUCUGAUCUUAGUUAUUUCUUGCCUUCUGCUAGCUUUUGAAUGUGUUUGCUCUUGCUUCUCUAGUUCUUUUAAUUGUGAUGUUAGGGUGUCAAUUUUAGAUCUUUCCUGCUUUCUCUUGUGGGCAUUUAGUGCUAUAAAUUUCCCUCUACACACUGCUUUGAAUGCGUCCCAGAGAUUCUGGUAUGUUGUGUCUUUGUUCUUGUUGGUUUCAAAGAACAUCUUUAUUUCUGCCUUCAUUUCGUUAUGUACCCAGUAGUCAUUCAGGAGCAGGUUGUUCAGUUUCCAUGUAGUUGAGUGGUUUUGAGUGAGAUUCUUAAUCCUGAGUUCUAGUUUGAUUGCACUGUGGUCUGAGAGAUAGUUUGUUAUAAUUUCUGUUCUUUUACAUUUGCUGAGGAGAGCUUUACUUCCAAGUAUGUGGUCAAUUUUGGAAUAGGUGUGGUGUGGUGCUGAAAAAAAUGUAUAUUCUGUUGAUUUGGGGUGGAGAGUUCUGUAGAUGUCUAUUAGGUCUGCUUGGUGCAGAGCUGAGUUCAAUUCCUGGAUAUCCCUGUUAACUUUCUGUCUCGUUGAUCUGUCUAAUGUUGACAGUGGGGUGUUAAAUUCUCCCAUUAUUAUUGUGUGGGAGUCUAAGUCUCUUUGUAGGUCUCUAAGGACUUGCUUUAUGAAUCUGGGUGCUCCUGUAUUGGGUGCAUAUAUAUUUAGGAUAGUUAGCUCUUCUUGUUGAAUUGAUCCCUUUAUCAUUAUGUAAUGGCCUUCUUUGUCUCUUUUGAUCUUUGUUGGUUUAAAGUCUGUUUUAUCAGAGACUAGGAUUGCAACCCCUGCCUUUUUUUGUUUUCCAUUUGCUUGGUAGAUCUUCCUCCAUCCCUUUAUUUUGAGCCUAUGUGUGUCUCUGCACAUGAGAUGGGUUUCCUGAAUACAGCACACUGAUGGGUCUUGACGCUUUAUCCAAUUUGCCAGUCUGUGUCUUUUAAUUGAUUUAAUGGUGAGAGAGAAAAAAAAAUUGCAUCUAGUUCUCUUUGCUAUCUCCCAUGAAUCAUUGCAUUUAACAUGUUAUUUCUGCUCAACUUUAGUUCAUUUUCAAUGUGCAUUUUUAGUGAUGUCAGAGUAUGUGUCAUUUAAUUAAAUCCCCGCCCUUGCUUUAGAUUUUCUGUGCAUGGGGUGUGAGGCACAUAUGCAGUCUGUGCCAUGUUGUAUUUGUUUUGUACCAUGUUGUUUGGCCUAUUUUGCUUCCAUGCUGUCCUCCAUUGUUAAGGUGAUUUGGAGUUGUUUUACUUUUGAAUUUUAUCCUUUCUGUUCUUGGUGUGACAACUUUCUAAAUAUUUCCUUAUUAAAGUAGUGAUAUAUAGAUGAUUUCCUUUUUAAAGCAUAUUUACUAUGUCCUUUAAUGUUUUAAACAGUUUUAUGGAGGUAUUUAUUGAAGUAUUUUUAUCAAACAUGACUAUUUAAAAUCCCUAUCAACUUUGUGUAGUGAUUCUUUCUUGUUCUAUGACACUUAGUAAUAUAUCUUAGAAUUUGCAUCUUAAUUUUUUUCUAACUAAAUCUCAGUCCUAAUCCCAUAUCAUUUUUUAUUUCUUUUGAUAUGUGUGUGUAUUUAUUCCCUUUGAUGUUCAUAGUAUGUUUCAUUGAGGUUCAAGGUUGAUUUUUUGGGGAAAAGAAAAAGCACCUUUGCAGAAAAGUCAGUUUUUCUAGAGCUAGUUAGGCAGGCCCUCAUUCCUGGUUUGGUUUCAAUUGCAGAGAGUUCUUGUAUCUCUGCAGGGGAAUUUCUGACUCAUGGGGUGGGUCCCUGACUCCUUACUCCUCUCUGAUUGAGUGAACCAGCAUCUGGGGCAAAUACGUAGCAGUCAGAUGCUCUGAUGAAUGUCCCUGUUCAGUUCUUUGACUUUUUUGUAUCCUCCUUAAAUAAUAAUGGUUUUAAAGAUAAGCAGAAGCCUAUCUAUAGUACUUUAUAGAUCUCAGCAGGGAUUAUUCAUCUUACAGUUAAUACAGGAAGAAACAUCUUUGAUACGGAAAGACUAGGGUGUUAAUUCAGCAAUCUCUGGUUAGGAGAAAAGUAGCCUAGUUUAUUACUUCUUCACUACUUUUGCCUGGAUGACCUGAAUUUUAAUCAAGAAGUUCUUUCCUCUCUAUAUGCGCUCCCCCAUUUUCCCACUUUUGUAUUGACUUUCCCACUAUUGUAUUUCUAAUGCACCUUCUUAAUCACUGGAGAAAGCUUUGAGGCAUGUAAGAGGUCCUAGCACCAUUUUCAGUCUUAAAGUUUCAUAGCCACCAGCUUUAUGGGACUCUAUUAUCAGGCCUUUCAAACAAAUUCUUCCCUUCCCUCACAAUCCCAAGCUAUUGAUCUUUUCUCUAAGGAAGCCUUUUGUAUUACUAAUUAAGACUAGGUGACUAUAUUAAAACAGGGUUAUCUUCUAAAAGAUUUAUAUAAAUGAUAAAACAGAGGCUAAGUAUUUUUGUAAGGACAGCAAUUUGAAGUCAGUUAAUGCCUAGAGUGACUGUUUCAUUCUUCUGCUAUGGCUCUGGUGACUUCCUGAUAAUUCUGUCCGAGCCCCUGUGUCCAGUUCCAGGACCUAAGAAUGGAAGAGCUCUGGAGGCUGAAGGUGGAAGAUGGAUCCCCCUUUCAGGGACAGUGAAAGGAGGGUUAAUCUUUCCUGAAGCUGUUAGUCUGGUAUCUAUUAGCACACAUGAGAAUUAGAAACCUUGCAACUUUAGAAAUAGUAUCUGUGUAGUAAAUGCUGUCUGUGUACCAAUUUGUAUAGCUUUUAAUAGAAAUAUCUUAUUUUUGGAUGGAAAAUGUGUGUAAGCUUGUGACUAAAAUAGUUCUGGAUGGAAGACCAUUCAGUAUCUUCUGAAAAAAAAAUUGUCUUCUGGAACUAAAACAUGAAAAAAAAACCUAUCCAUUAUUGCUUUUUUUUAAAUAAAGAAAACCAGUGCUGUGUAAUCCAUAUUUUACCAAUAUUAAUUAUGUCUUAGAACCAUUUAAGAAUGAUGGUUUACAUAUCCUAUUUUAAAGUCAAGAUUUUAAAGAGCUUUUAUUUGUUAUUACUAAUUAUUGGGAGAAUAUUGAAAAAUUUUCAAUUUAAAUGUUGAAUUAAAAAUGUAACCUUUUUGGCUGGGUGCGGUGGCUCACGCCUGUAAUCCCAGUACUUUGGGAGGCCAAGGCGGGUGGAUCACGAGGUCAGGUGUUAAAGACCAGCCUGGCCAAGAUGGUGAAACCCCAUCUCUACUAAAAAUACAAAAAUUAGCCGGGCGUGGUGGUGGGCGCCUGUAAUCCCAGCUACUCAGGAGGCUGAGGCAGGAGAAUCACUUGAGGCCGGGAGGCGGAGGUUGCAGUGAGCCGAUAACGCACCACUGCACUACAGCCUGGGUGGCAGAGCGACACUCCGUCUCAAAAAAAAGAAAAGUAACCUUUUAUAAAUAUGGGGCUGAAAACGUUAUUUUUAAAUUUUGGAAAAAGUUCUACUAGCUUGAAGAUUACUUAGAUUUAUUUUUUCUUGGCUUAUUUAGAUAUUUGGCCUAUUUUUAAAACUAUAAAUAAAUAAUUGGAUUUUAAUUUGAUAGAGAAUCAGAAAAACAGAGACUUUAUAUAAUUUUUGUUACAUUUGAAUUCAUUUUAUAAAUAUAUGUUGUAAAAAUUCUUCCAGUGCAAUAUUUUUUGGAAAAUAUUGUUCUAGUCGUUGUUUGUAUAGGUUU